GAUGAACGCUGGCGGCGUGCUUAACACAUGCAAGUCGAACGAAGCAUUUAGGACAGAUUUCUUCGGUUUGAGGAUCUUUAUGACUGAGUGGCGUACGCUUGAGUAACGCGUGGGUAACCUGCCUUGUACUGGGGGAUAGCAGCUGGAAACGGCUGGUAAUACCGCAUAAGCGCACAAUGUUGCAUGACAUGGUGUGAAAAACUCCGGUGGUAUAAGAUGGACCCGCGUCUGAUUAGCUAGUUGGUGAGAUAACAGCCCACCAAGGCGACGAUCAGUAGCCGACCUGAGAGGGUGACCGGCGACAUUGGGACUGAGACACGGCCCAGACUCCUACGGGAGGCAGCAGUGGGGAAUAUUGCACAAUGGAGGAAACGCUGAUGCAGCGACGCCGCGUGAGUGAAGAAGUAAUUCGUUAUGUAAAGCUCUAUCAGCAGGGAAGAUAGUGACGGUACCUGACGAAGAAGCACCGGCUAAAUACGUG
rnacentral:rRNA from 1 species